rnacentral:rRNA from 1 species
AGCGAACGCUGGCGGCAGGCCUAACACAUGCAAGUCGAACGAACCCUUCGGGGUUAGUGGCGGACGGGUGAGUAACACGUGGGAACGUGCCUUUAGGUUCGGAAUAACUCAGGGAAACUUGUGCUAAUACCGAAUGUGCCCUUCGGGGGAAAGAUUUAUCGCCUUUAGAGCGGCCCGCGUCUGAUUAGCUAGUUGGUGAGGUAAUGGCUCACCAAGGCUACGAUCAGUAGCGGGUCUGAGAGGAUGACCAGCCACAUUGGGACUGAGACACGGCCCAAACUCCUACGGGAGGCAGCAGUAGGGAAUCUUGCGCAAUGGGCGAAAGCCUGACGCAGCCAUGCCGCGUGGAUGAUGAAGGUCUUAGGAUUGUAAAAUCCUUUCACCGGUGAAGAUAAUGACUGUAGCCGGAGAAGAAGCCCCGGCUAACUUCGUGCCAGCCGCCGCCGUAACAC